UCCACUUGCUUUCAUCUUUGAAAGGUAACUUUCACAAUUCCUCAUAUAAUCUGUUUUUUUUUUUUAGUGUAUAGGUUUUGAUACCAGAAUAAUUCAAGAACUUAAUCUUUGGUCAACCAACAUAAACAUAUUCAAACAUGGUAGACACCAUCAUACUAGCACCAAACAUGCUGCUGUUGGCGAUCAAGUCUUAGGCUCCUUGUUGGCUUUAGCUUCUUGCCUAGCAUUUGCAAUUUGGUACAUAAUUCAUGUAAGUUUUUUUUUACAUAAUCAUUUUUAUUAGGUGCAUUCAGUAUGUGCAUUAAAAGUGAAUCUAAUUGUUGGAUAUACUCGGACUAGAAAAUGAAUUCGAUUUAGAGGAAUUAAUCAAAUUAAGCUUACGUCUCAAACUAAUCGAGUAUGUUUAAAUUAUUCUUGUUAUGUUUGCGCAUUAUUCUUUCUUUCUUUUUUCCUUUUGCAGGUUUCUUAUUUUUGUUACUUUUCUUAUUUCCAUUCUUAUUUUGCAGCCUGCAGCGUGUUGUAAAUCGUUAAGACAAGAAAAGCAUUGAUCUCCAAUGGGGUGGAUUGAAGAAAAUAUGAAAUCAACUCAUAUUAGACAAAUUCUCUCUCAAGCCAUCAGCCUCG
rnacentral:lncRNA from 1 species